rnacentral:tRNA from 1 species
GCCUAUAUAGCUCAGGUGGUAGAGCAGAGGACUGAAAAUCCUCGUGUCCGUGGUUCGAGUCCGCGUGUAGGCACCA